rnacentral:rRNA from 2 species
GGCGAACGGGUGAGUAACACGUGAGUAACCUGCCCUUGACUCUGGGAUAAGCCUGGGAAACUGGGUCUAAUACUGGAUAUGACUUCUCACCGCAUGGUGGGGGGUGGAAAGAUUUAUUGGUCUUGGAUGGACUCGCGGCCUAUCAGCUUGUUGGUGAGGUAAUGGCUCACCAAGGCGACGACGGGUAGCCGGCCUGAGAGGGUGACCGGCCACACUGGGACUGAGACACGGCCCAGACUCCUACGGGAGGCAGCAGUGGGGAAUAUUGCACAAUGGGCGCAAGCCUGAUGCAGCGACGCCGCGUGAGGGAUGACGGCCUUCGGGUUGUAAACCUCUUUCAGUAGGGAAGAAGCGAAAGUGACGGUACCUGCAGAAGAAGCGCCGGCUAACUACGUGCCAGCAGCCGCGGUAAUACGUAGGGCGCGAGCGUUAUCCGGAAUUAUUGGGCGUAAAGAGCUCGUAGGCGGUUUGUCGCGUCUGCCGUGAAAGUCCGGGGCUUAACCCCGGAUCUGCGGUGGGUACGGGCAGACUAGAGUGCAGUAGGGGAGACUGGAAUUCCUGGUGUAGCGGUGAAAUGCGCAGAUAUCAGGAGGAACACCGAUGGCGAAGGCAGGUCUCUGGGCUGUAACUGACGCUGAGGAGCGAAAGCAUGGGGAGCGAACAGGAUUAGAUACCCUGGUAGUCCAUGCCGUAAACGUUGGGCACUAGGUGUGGGGGACAUUCCACGUUUUCCGCGCCGUAGCUAACGCAUUAAGUGCCCCGCC